UAAAACCCGAGGCCACCGCGCCCGGCGGGGAGCCACCAUUGUUGACAUUGGCAUUCAAGCUUGUGAAACAUUGUUAGCAAUAAAAAAAAAAGCUCAGAAUCCAACGAUCUAUGCACCGGAGUGAAUAUUUCCGUCCACAGCAGUUCGGUUUCACGGCGGAGAUGCUGCAACCUUCGUCAUGAAUUGCGCGUGUAGUAGGAUUGGCCAUUUUCUGACAAAAUCUUACGCUAUAUUUGAGCACAUCAUGGUCUUAGGGUUCGAUUGGUAUAAGCGGUGUUGAUAACGGACCAUUUCCGGCAGUAUCUGAAAUUUUGACCGCUGCGUGCGGUGAACUUGUUCACUAUUUUCCGACGGUCAUGAUAGUAAGGGUCUCAUCGGAGAACUAGGAUUUCAAUGAUCAUGGUGGGGCGUUCCGAGGGCGACAUCCCUCCUCAUCGCCGGUGAGUGGCCGAUGAUCUAUUUUUUAUUUCUCCGGUGAUCUAUUUUCAAUUUCUUAGUAAAUAUUUUUUUAAUUUUAAAGUGAAAAUAAACACCAGUUAAUGUUAAUUAUUUUUUGAAACAUCAAUGGAAAGUUAAAAAAAAAAAUAUCGUAUUUAUGAUUUAAAGAAAGUAUAAAUAGAAAGUUCAAAAACAUAAAAAUAUUUCUUUACUGAAUAAUUUGCUUCGAAAUAAAUUUUAAUUUUUUGAAUUAAAAUUUUAAUUGCUUGUAAUACAACCAAAUAAUAUCAUUAGUUCACUUUCGUCAUUUCAAUUUACAUAUUUCCUUUCAUGAUUUACCAAACAUGCAUGUCAAAUUAUAUUAUAAAUGAUUAUGGUAUAAUUUUAAUUUACAAAUAUUUAUUAAAUUAUUUAUAAAACUGAUUAUUUCAAAAUCUAUGCUAAAAUAUAUUAUUUGAGAAGCUAAUGCAAUCCCAAACAUAGCAAGAAGCAUUACAUAAAAAG
rnacentral:lncRNA from 1 species